rnacentral:rRNA from 1 species
UACGUAGGCAGCGAGCGUUGUUCGGAAUUACUGGGCGUAAAGAGUGUGUAGGCGGUGCUCUAAGUUCGGUGUGAAAUCUCCUGCUUAACUGGGAGGGUGCGCCGGAAACUGGAGUGCUUGAGCGUGGGAGAGGAAAGCGGAAUUCCUGGUGUAGCGGUGAAAUGCGUAGAUAUCAGGAGGAACACCGGUGGUGUAGACGGCUCUCUGGACCGUAACUGACGCUGAGGCACGAAAGCGUGGGUAGCAAACAGG